rnacentral:pre_miRNA from 1 species
UGACUACUCCCUCCGUCCGAAAAUACUUGUCAUCAAAAUGGAUGUUCAUCCAUUUUGAUGACAAGUAUUUUCGGACGGAGGAAGUACACA